GCGUGUGUGAAGAAGGUCUUCGGAUUGUAAAGCACUUUCGACGGGGACGAUGAUGACGGUACCCGUAGAAGAAGCCCCGGCUAACUUCGUGCCAGCAGCCGCGGUAAUACGAAGGGGGCUAGCGUUGCUCGGAAUGACUGGGCGUAAAGGGCGCGUAGGCGGAUUGCACAGUCAGAUGUGAAAUUCCUGGGCUUAACCUGGGGGCUGCAUUUGAUACGUGUGAUCUAGAGUGAGGAAGAGGGUCGUGGAAUUCCCAGUGUAGAGGUGAAAUUCGU
rnacentral:rRNA from 1 species